rnacentral:rRNA from 1 species
UACAGAGGGUGCGAGCGUUGUCCGGAAUCACUGGGCGUAAAGGGCGCGUAGGCGGCGUCGUAAGUCGGGGGUGAAAUGCUGCGGCUCAACCGCAGCGCUGCCUUCGAGACUGCGAGGCUUGAGCACGGUAGAGGCGGAUGGAAUUCCCGGUGUAGCGGUGGAAUGCGUAGAGAUCGGGAAGAACACCGAUGGCGAAGGCAGUCCGCUGGGCCGUUGCUGACGCUGAGGCGCGACAGCGUGGGGAGCAAAC